GGCCGUGUGGCAAAAUGGUUACUGCGUUGCUUUCCGACUUGCGUUAGGCAGAGACUGUGGGUUCGAGUCCCACCAUGGUCG